AUUGAACGCUGGCGGCAUGCCUUACACAUGCAAGUCGAACGGCAGCACGGGAGCAAUCCUGGUGGCGAGUGGCGAACGGGUGAGUAAAGUAUCGGAACGUGCCCAGUCGUGGGGGAUAACGUAGCGAAAGUUACGCUAAUACAGCAAACGAUCUAUGGAUGAAAGCGGGGGAUCGCAAGACCUCGCGCGAUUGGAGCGGCCGAUAUCAGAUUAGGUAGUUGGUGGGGUAAAGGCUCACCAAGCCGACGAUCUGUAGCUGGUCUGAGAGGACGACCAGCCACACUGGGAAUGAGAAACGGCCCAGACUCCUACGGGAGUCAGCAGUGGGGAAUUUUGGACAAUGGGCGAAAGCCUGUUCCAGCCAUGCCGCGUGCAGGAUGAAGGCCUUCGGGUUGUAAACUGCUUUUGUACGGAACGAAAAGGUUUGGCCUAAUAAGCUGAGCUCAUGACGGUACCGUAAGAAUAAGCACCGGCUAACUACGUGCCAGCAGCCGCCGUAA
rnacentral:rRNA from 1 species